AUAGUUGACCUCGAAUCAGGUAGGACUACCCG
rnacentral:rRNA from 1 species